UCAGUAAACUGUUUUUCAACAUCGGGAGAGUUUUCGACAUGGAUCCAACCACAUGCUGCUUAUAACCUUGGGAAGACAUCAUGCUCACAAUCUUGCUAGCGACCUUCCGGUUUUCUUUCGGGAACCAACUUUUCUGUGAUGUAGACUUCAUACGUAAAUAAUGAAACCUACUGAAGAGCUGCGGAAAGUUGCGACCAGGAAAGUCUCUUCGAAUAAUAUGAGCACGCAACUUACUAGCGUCGGGCAUGGCAAGAAGCAUGUUGUUCUCUUUCCUAAACAAAACAAUAAAAAAUAAAUAAAUAGUAAUAGUAGUAAUAUUAAUCAUUAAUAAAUUUAAAACAAAAUUA